CGAACGCUGGCGGCGUGCUUAACACAUGCAAGUCAAGGAGAAAGGGAUUCUUCGGAUUCCUGAGUAAACUGGCGAACGGGUGCGUAUCGCGUAGAUAACCUGCCCUACAGCGUGGAAUAACAUCGGGAAACCGGUGCUAAUACCGCAUAACAUUCAGUUAUCGCAUGGUAAUUGAAUCAAAGGAGGGUCUUCGGACUACCGCUGUUGGAUGGAUCUGCGUCCUAUUAGUUAGUUGGUGAGGUAACGGCUCACCAAGACAGCGAUGGGUAGCUGGUCUGAGAGGAUGAUCAGCCACACUGGCACUGAGACACGGGCCAGACUCCUACGGGAGGCAGCAGUGAGGAAUAUUGGGCAAUGGGCGAAAGCCUGACCCAGCAACGCCGCGUGGGUGAUGAAGCUUCGAGGAGUGUAAAGCCCUGUUAGGAGGGAAGAAUACUCGACUUGUCGAGAUUGACGGUACCUCCAGAGAAAGCUCCGGCUAACUCC
rnacentral:rRNA from 1 species